rnacentral:rRNA from 1 species
UUUCGUAGGUGAACUGCGGAAGGAUCAUUA